AUUGAACGCUGGCGGCAGGCUUAACACAUGCAAGUCGAGCGAGCGGAGGACGGGUGAGUAAUGUCUGGGAAACUGCCUGAUGGAGGGGGAUAAAUACUGGAAACGGUAGCUAAUACCGCAUACCAUCAGAUGUGCCCAGAGUGGAUUAGCUAGUAGGUGGGGUAAUGGCUCACCUAGGCGACGAUCCCUAGCGGGUCUGAGAGGAUGACCAGCACGACUGGAACUGAGACACGGUCCAGACUCCUUCGGGAGGCAGCAGUGGGGAAUAUGUCACAAUGGGCGCAAGCCUGAUGCAGCCAUGCCGCGUGUGUGAAGAAGGCCUUCGGGUUGUAAAGCACGUUCAGCGAGGAGGCGUUACUCGCAGAAGAAGCACCGGCUAACUCCGUGCCAGCAGCCGCGGUAAUAC
rnacentral:rRNA from 1 species